rnacentral:misc_RNA from 1 species
CUUCCUUGUGAGGAAUUGUAUAACUGUAUCCAACAAAGUCUGGAGAUGAAUAUGUGGAUAUGUAAUUUGCAACACUGUCAACCAAAAGAGGCAGAUAAAUUCCAUUAAAACCAACUGACUUAAAUGCUGCAUUGUAGAGAUGAGGACUUUUGCUGUGACCAAUAGGAUUUCCAAUAACACCAUGUAUUUUGGUAUCAGCUCCUAUCUGUCUGAUAUUAUACAAAUCCAACAGAUCUUUAAUGGUUGGCUGCCCAGGAGCAGAUACUACUCCUGCCUCAAUUGAACCAAAGGUGAGAAAUCCUCCAUAUUUUGCGGCAAGUACCCUUGAUAUGAAGCCUCUCUCACCCAUAACAAGUCCUAU